UGGGAAGUAGCUUAGCGGUAAAGCACCGGAAUUUGGAUCCGGGGAUCAAAGGUUCGAACCCUUUCUUCCCAG